UUGAACAUCACAAACAAAUUGUUGUAUGUAUGGAUAAAUUGUUGUGUAGAGGGAACAAAUAAUUUAUCACUAUGAACAAAUCCAUCCACAAAAUGGAAACUGAAUACAUAUGCGAAUAAACUUAGUUGACACAGUAAAAAAAUUAAUAUAACAUCAUGAACAAAUUAAUCUACAAAAACGAACAAAAAUAGCUGAAACAUUUUAUUUUAACCAGUGAACAAAAUCUGCGUACUUGAUGAACAAAUUAGUAUAAAAAAUAAAGAUAAAAAUCCACAAUAUUGAAGGGGAAAACUAUAUAUAUAUGGUGCAUAAAUUAUUAUAUAAAAUAUAAAUAAAAGAAAAGAUAGAAAACAUAAAGAAAAAUAAAAUGAAAAUGAGUAGAAAAUAAAAGGAACAGGUUAAAAAAUUACAAAACUAGCAAUAAACUAGAGCACGGGCUGCAACCUCCCCCCCCCCCUAACAUUAACACAAAUGACUCCCUCAAUUCCUUAUUCAUGAGCUGAAUUUACUUUCGCUUCAUCCGAUAGCUUUCUUGGAUCUAAUUUAUUUUUCCUCCCACUUCAUGACAGGCGGGGCGAUAUAUUGCCACCCUCCCUCGUACAAAUUCAGCCUAUCUAUGUCUAAUAAAGGCGCAGCACUCGGUGCAACCUCAGGCUAUCCACGACAGCACAAAAGAUUUACACCAUGUGAUGUUCAUCUUAUGGCGGAGAAAGUAACUGCUAAUGCAAAGACAAAAGAAAAGGCAGUAUCACUUUCCAAGACUCCACUGCACACAAACCGCUAUUAUCCCAACAUAAGAAUCCAAUGUCUGUAUAACAAACAAUCUAGUGUAGCAUACAAAUGCUGCACCCUCCUUGUAUAUAGCUACCUUCUAAUAUAUGGUACUAUGCUCCAACUUCUGCAAAUACCCUGACUGCUAAAUCUUCCACUGAUUAUUACCCAACAAUAUUACUAA